rnacentral:rRNA from 1 species
AUGGCAGAAGCUUCAGCUCUCAAAUUUGGACUAACAUUAGCGCAAAGGGCGGGGUGCAAUCGCCUAAUCAUCAACUCAGAUAAUCUGGAGGUGAUUGAGACCAUGCAGGACGGGGGGACGGUCAACAGGCAAUUUUUCGAUGAUUGUUUUCACUAUGCAUGUGAUUUUAUCAUGACUAGAUUCGAACAUUGUAAUAGCGAGACAAAUAAAGUAGCACAUGAACUUGCUAAAUUAGCUAGAUUUUCUUCAACUUCGAAUUGGUUUGAGGAGCCUCUGAAUGAAAUUAUAAUGUUCCUCACAAACGAUGUACUGGCUAUAUCUAAUGAAUAA